rnacentral:tRNA from 1 species
GGAGAAAUGGCAGAGUGGCUGAAUGCAGCGGUAAUUUAUUACUGUAGAGGGUUAAACCUCCGAGGGUUCGAAUCCCUUCUUUCUCCG